rnacentral:rRNA from 1 species
GAUGAACGCUGGCGGCGUGCCUAAUACAUGCAAGUCGAGCGAACGGACGAGAAGCUUGCUUCUCUGAUGUUAGCGGCGGACGGGUGAGUAACACGUGGAUAACCUACAUAUAAGACUGGGAUAACUUCGGGAAACCGGAGCUAAUACCGGAUAAUAUUUUGAACCGCAUGGUUCAAAAGUGAAAGACGGUCUUGCUGUCACUUAUAGAUGGAUCCGCGCUGCAUUAGCUAGUUGGUAAGGUAACGGCUUACCAAGGCAACGAUGCAUAGCCGACCUGAGAGGGUGAUCGGCCACACUGGAACUGAGACACGGUCCAGACUCCUACGGGAGGCAGCAGUAGGGAAUCUUCCGCAAUGGGCGAAAGCCUGACGGAGCAACGCCGCGUGAGUGAUGAAGGUCUUCGGAUCGUAAAACUCUGUUAGUAGGGAAGAACAUAUGUGUAAGUAACUGUGCACAUCUUGACGGUACCUAAUCAGAAAGCCACGGCUAACUACGUG